UUGAAAUUAUUAUCUGUUGCCCUAUUUUCAUUUCCGCCGCCGCCAUUCCCACCGCUUCCGCCCUUCACUCUUUUUUUGCCUCCAAUUAUUAUCUGCUCCAUGAAUUUGUUCAACACAAGUCUCAGAUUGGAGUUUCUAUUAUACUCUUAAGAACCCCUCUCAAUCCAUCCCCAAAAUGGAGCCAGAUUUCUUCAAAAAUCUACCAGCAGAAAUCAUCACCGAGAUCCUCUUAAGACUACCUGUUGUAAGCAUUCCAAUAAGCAAAUGUGUUUGCAAGCGAUGGCUCCAUCUGCUUGAGUCUGAUGCAUUUGUCAAGUCUCAUUUUGCCAGAUCCGCCCCCGCCCUCGUUGUUGUGGGGAAUUCAAAUCAGUUGAAAGUUUUGGAAUUGGAAGGCGAGCUCAAUCUCCAUCUCGAGAGCUACAAUCCACUCACCCAGUAUGAUGUCCCUUACCGCUUGAUUGGAAGAAUAAGGAAUUGUUUUGAUGGUUUUCUUGUUAUAAAUUUGAGUUUUGAUAAGCUUGUUGUAUGUAAUCCGAUCACUCGUGAAGUUAUUGAGCUGGAUCUGCCUGCAGAUCCACAACAGUCUACUCUUCUAGAAGUAUCUGCUUUGGGAUUUGGGGGAAGCGAGGUAGUCUGUAUUAAACGUAGGCCCUAUGAUGAUAAAUUGGAUUGUCAUGUAUACACUCUUGGAGCAGGAUCAUGGAGACGCCUUGAAGGUAUUCCAUAUAAUUACCAUGACGGUGAAGGUGCAUUUGUUAAUGGAAAUCUCCAUUGGAUAGCAACCAUUGGAGGAGAAGCGUCAUGGAUUUCUUGCUUUGAUGUUGAAACAGAAUGUUUUAGCUUCUUUAAAGCUCCUCCUUAUCAUGCUCAAGGAUUGCCCUUGAUAAGAGUAACUUCCAUUUCUGCUUUGAGCGGUUGCCUAUGGUUUUGCAAGGUAGCAUCCGAAUAUGUAAAUUCUGAUGGGGGAUGCGAGCUUACUAUAUGGAUUAUGAAGGAAUAUGGAGUGGACGAAUCUUGGAGCAUGGAAUAUGUGAUCCCCAUUGAUGAUGGCUUGAGGGAAAGUGAUUCUUGAAUCUGUCAUCUUAACUGUUGCGGUGGUAGUGAGCCUCACUUUAUACAUAUUCUGGGCUGCAAAGAGAGGUCAUGAUUUCAAUUUCCUUGGACCUUUCCUAUUUGGUGCCGUUCUUGUGCUUAUGCUGUUUGCUCUCAUUCAGCCUAGUAAAUGCAAUAAUUAUAUUAUUGCAUCUUCACUCAUAUCGUACAAGAGCCAACUUCAAGAGCAAGAAGUUAAUGAGAUAAUCGUACAAGAAACUAAAGAAGCAAGUGAAACAACGAGCUUCGUCAAGGCAACUGAACAACCACUCUGUUUAGAGAAUGAAGAUGCUAAGGAUGCGGCUGAAACAUGUGAAGCAAGCUUAGAGAUUCAAGAAGCUACACAUGCGCCUGAAAUAAGUGAAGUGCACCAGAAAGUUAAGCCAAUGCACUCUCAUAAGGGUAAUGAAAUUAAGGGAUUGGUUUGUCAAGGAUUGGUUUGUCAUGUUAAUGAGUCUACCGGUGUGUGUGAAUAUGUGCAAUUCUUUCACCUAUGUGGGAAACAUGAAGCGGGGAUAAUAUGUCAAAAGGGUUUAUGGAAUGAUUCUUCCUACAAGAUGAACACACAUAUCUUUGGUUGUAUGAUUGCUGACGUGGCUCGAAGAAGAAGUAUUCCUAAAUUCUAUGCACUUGCAAGGGUCUAUAAAGAGGUUUUGAGUCUCCACCUUGAAGACAAGGUGGUUUUUGAAGAAGGUGGGAAUGAUACGCUCAGCCCAAUCUCUAGAUUGGCCCAAUUAUGGUCCAGUCGAUUAGCCCAUUAGGUUUU